ACGGGAGGCAGCAGUGGGGAAUAUUGGGCAAUGGGCGAAAGCCUGACCCAGCAACGCCGCGUGAAGGAAGAAGGUCCUCGGAUUGUAAACUUCUUUUAUCAGGGACGAAGAAAGUGACGGUACCUGAUGAAUAAGCCACGGCUAACUACGUGCCAGCAGCCGCGGUAAUACGUAGGUGGCGAGCGUUAUCCGGAUUUAUUGGGUUUAAAGGGUGCGCAGGCGGGCUGCUAAGUCUCCGGUGAAAUGUCAGGGCUCAACCUUGGCACUGCCGGAGAUACUGGCGGCCUUGAGAGUGGCGGAGGUAUCCGGAAUGUGUGGUGUAGCGGUGAAAUGCAUAGAUAUCACACAGAACACCGAUUGCGAAGGCAGGAUACCAUACCAUAUCUGACGCUCAGGCACGAAAGCGUGGGGAUCGAACAGGAUUAGAUACCCUGGUA
rnacentral:rRNA from 1 species